GUUCCAAAGGGGUUGAGUAUGGAAUAAGAAAGGUCUUUGGGCACAUGGUGGAGGCGGGACCCUGUCAAUGGUGCAGGGAGAGAGAAGAUCACUUCUAUCUCUGAGACCACAAGAGGCAAUGGAGACAGCUGCAGAGGCAGUUCCAGUAAUUCGAUCAGUGGAUGGCUACAAAAAAGAGAAAGUCUUCAAAGAGGAGAUGGCAUUUGCACUUGAAAAGCUCCACCGUGUUGAGAUGGAUGGAAUGCGUCCCAUCAAAUGUACAGAACUUAGAGAUGACAUCAAGAUCUGGUUAUGGUAACUACAGAAGGCUCUUGUUAGGAGGCAGAAUCCAAACAGUUUGGCUAAGAAAGAGAGCCACUGGGCUGAGCUAAGAGUUUGGAUGUGAUUCUGCAGGUGGUGAAUGUGGAAGAGAUGGCUCCACCUAAAUCCAUACUAUACUUCCCCAGUGUGAGUUCCCACUGAGAAGGGGCAUCUGUAUCCAGCCAGGACUACAUUUCCCAGAACUCCUUCUUUUCCGGGCAGGGCCAUGUGACCAGUUCUGGACAAAGGAAUGUGAGCCGAAGUGAUGUGAUUCAUGUCCACGCUAAGGCCAUUAAGAGGCAGUUGUGCUCUCUCUUCUUGGGCAAUUGAGAGGCAGUUGUGCCCUCUCCUGCCUGGAUGCAGAGGACCCAGUAGAUGGAAGAGCCUCAAAAGGAAAAGGGCCCAUGUCCCUAAACUUCAAGAGGGGAAACAUCUCCUAAAAACCAGGAACACCAGAUGAGUGAAAAGUGCACAUGUGUUAGGUCAUCAGUACCUGCAUAAAAGAGACUGGGUCUUUUUCCUCCUGCUCUCAGGAAUGUGUGCUGAAUCGGAAGCACCCAGUGAAGAUGUCUUUCAU
rnacentral:lncRNA from 1 species